AACGAACGCUGGCGGCAUGCCUAACACAUGCAAGUCGAACGAGAUCUUCGGGUCUAGUGGCGCACGGGUGCGUAACGCGUGGGAAUCUGCCCUUUGGUUCGGAAUAACAGUUGGAAACGACUGCUAAUACCGGAUGAUGACGAAAGUCCAAAGAUUUAUCGCCAGAGGAUGAGCCCGCGUAGGAUUAGCUAGUUGGUGUGGUAAAGGCGCACCAAGGCGACGAUCCUUAGCUGGUCUGAGAGGAUGAUCAGCCACACUGGGACUGAGGCACGGCCCAAAUUCCGACGGGAGCCAGCAGUGGGGAAUAUUGGACAAUGGGCGAAAGCCUGAUCCAGUAAUGCCGCGUGAGUGAUGAAGGCCUUAGGGUUGUAAAGCUCUUUUACCCGGGAUGAUAAUGACAGGACCGGGCGAAUAAGAUCCGGCUAACUCCGUGCCAGCAGCCGCCGUAA
rnacentral:rRNA from 1 species